GGGGAAUUUUGCGCAAUGGACGAAAGUCUGACGCAGCAACGCCGCGUGGGUGAUGAAGGUCUUCGGAUUGUAAAACCCUGUCGUCAGGGACGAAGGUUGGGGCUUUAAUAGAGUUUCAACUUGACGGUACCUGGAGAGGAAGCCCCGGCUAACUCUGUGCCAGCAGCCGCGGUAAUACAGAGGGGGCAAGCGUUAUUCGGAAUUACUGGGCGUAAAGGGCGCGUAGGCGGUUCUUUAAGUCGGAUGUGCAAUCCCCGAGCUCAACUUGGGAACUGCAUCCGAAACUGGGGAGCUAGAGUGCUGGAGAGGGUGGUGGAAUUCCACGUGUAGCGGUGAAAUGCGUAGAGAUGUGGAGGAACACCAGUGGCGAAGGCGGCCACCUGGACAGUAACUGACGCUGAGGCGCGAAAGUGUGGGUAGCAAAC
rnacentral:rRNA from 1 species